GCCACUUUAGCUCAGCGGUAGAGCGACGCUUUCGUAAAGCGUAGGUCUGGGGUUCAAAUCCCCAAAGUGGCU
rnacentral:tRNA from 1 species